UUGAAAGAUAUCUACUUGAUUUGACUCAUUUGGACGGCCCUUCUUCAGCUUUAAACCCCAAAACUGUGUAAAUCAAGUAGACACCUGCCUCAUUUACUUAUAAUAGCAUCCAACACAAUAUGCAGGUCAAAGCAUGGAGGCAACAUGUGGGUAUGCAGUGGUGUGACAUGUUGGUUUUGGUCAAGAUCACCUACCUGACAGUAAGAAAAGGUACAAAAUAGAUCAGUCACAUAUAUGAGGUGUGCAAAUCAGAGGUUUCAUUCUACUUGCUGGUUAAAAUAUAGAAUAGGAAAGACUUUGAAAUAUUUUAUACAUUUUGGCACAUAAAGCAACUCAAGUAUUUGUCCAGGAGGAGGCACCAUUGUUUAACCAAUGUUCAGGUCUGUAUGUGAAAGAAGCUCAGGGAAGCAACAAAGAUUGCAUAAUGACAUCAUCAUGGGAACACAAUUUAAUCUGAUACUGUAUAUACAUAGAUUCAACAUUAGGCUCACAUCUAGCAUAAAGAAUCUUGUUCAUCAGUUAUUUCUUUGAAUUUUAGUCAGCCAUUGUCGACAUGUAACAUGUGUCCAAAAAUGAUGUAAAUUAUGAGAUGGUACUCUGAAUAUUAUGUUUUGAUCACUUCAUGUGAAAGCCACUGACUCCAGUGUCCACAUUUUUUUUUUUUAAAUGAGCAAGUUUUGUUUUUAAAUUCUAGAUCUGGCCUGCUCGUGCCAAAACAUAUCUGAUAAAUGAGUUGUAUGAGUUGAAACAUUAGUUACUCUUUUUAUGCCCGUUCAAAUAAGUGAUACAUAAUACUGAGUAGUUACUGGGUAGUCCCUCAUUCCUUAUAGCCAUUAUUUACUCCCCAAUGUAAAGCAUCAAAACUAACAAGUAGCUACUGGGUUUUUACUGGGGGGUUCACCAUUAGUUUAAUAACAGACCAGAGACAGCAGGAUUCUCAUAAAAAUAUUUUAAUCAUCAUAUUUAGGGCGCAUAGCCUACAUUAAUAUCCACAUCCACAUGUAGGCCUAUACUGUCAGUUACACUAGAUGCUAAUGUAGCCCAGAGUAGUUACAUUAGCAAUAAAAAAUAAAUCUCUGUAUUAAUGUUCAGGAAAUCAUACACAUGAAAUAAAUAAACUCUCAUUAAAUAUUGCACGUGUAUAUGUUUGAGAUAGUUUAAUGGGUAGAAAGAAGAUGUUUUUGUUGAUAAACUUGGCAAACAGCCAAUAAAUUUAAGUUUAAGGCACGAAACUUAGCUAAACAAUGGAGGAACUCAUUUAAGUAAAUGUUGUGUUUUCAUGCGUUAAUUCAUACUUAAUAUUAACAACAUAAAAUUAGAAUGUGGAUAAAAAAGAGAGAAUGCCGUCCGUUCCCACCUGUGCACUGAGGCCUGAUGCUAUUUUUCAUGCUAAUGUGCCAAUUCAUUGCACCGGCAGGUGCCAGAGUUUUAGAUGAUAGAUCUUCAAACCUAUAUUGGCCACAGGAAAGUAUUGGAAUAGUAUGGAACAAGAUAUUCCACUGCUGGUAUUCAUAUAAAACACAGAGACGAGUGAUCCAGGCAAAUAGGGACAUUUAUUCGUCUCCCUCUCCCUUCAACUCAGCCACAUUAGGAAGAGCCAGUCCCCCAACGGCUACAUCGUGAGCGCACCAAGAAGUUCUCUAUCUAUGGAAUGACGACAGCAGAUUAGAAAGGACCUUAUUUGGGGACACUGGUUUACGAUGAGGAUGGUGCAUCAUUCCAGACUUUCAAACUGUUGGAUCUUUUGGAGGAGGAAAAGUAACAACGAGGUUCCACAUGAACCUGUGGGCACAACCAGGACUUUACACCAAACUACCAAAAUAUGGCUAACUAUGUAGAUGUAUUAGACAAUGAGGAAAACAUUACUCAGACCGCAGGAGAGUUUGAGGUUUGAAGUCACGCUCCUUUCUUGCUGGGGUGAGAUUAUUGUCCCUAUGUCAGCAUGGGAUUACUCUGUAUUCCUCCAACAUUUUUAUAUUGGCAUAUAAAUUUUAAAUGGGACCAUAAAUAAAGAUAAUAAAUUGGAA